rnacentral:rRNA from 1 species
CAGUCGCCACGGUAAUACGAACCGUGCGAACGUUAUUCGGAAUUACUGGGCUUAAAGCGCGUGUAGGCGGGCCGCCACGUCGGUUGCUGAAAUCCCCCGGCUCAACCGGGGAAGUGGCAUCGAUACGAGCGGCCUUGAGGGGGGUAGGGGGAUCUGGAACUUCCGGUGGAGCGGUGAAAUGCGUUGAGAUCGGAAGGAACGCCCGUGGCGAAAGCGAGGUCCUGGACCCUUUCUGACGCUGAGACGCGAAAGCCAGGGGAGCGAACGGGAUUAGAGACCCCGGUAGUCCCUGUCUCUUAUA